GCUGCGCCGCCGAGCUCCACACGCAUGCCUGCCCCGCCGCCGCAGCAGCUCUACACCCAUGCCGUCCACAGCAGCAGCUCCGCACCCAUGCGUCCGCAGCAGCAGCUCCGCACCCAUGCCGUCCGCAGCAGCAGGUCCGCACCCAUGACGUCCGCCGCAACCAGGUCGGCAACCUCUAGAUCCGCGCCCCUGCCAGCCGCCGCCACUGAUUCGGCGCCCUCCGUCUCCAGCCCGCGACGGUCGCGCCCCCUCCCCAGCCCGCCGACGGCCGCGCCCUCCUCUCCCCAUGGGGAUUUGGAUUGACGGCGGUGGGAUCUCGGGAUCUCGAUCCCGGCACAAAGAACUUCGAUUUAGUUUACUGAAACUCAAUCACUUUCAGGUGACAACUUUUUCAAAGAUGUGAGCUAUAUUAUUAUUAUUAUUAGUAUUGAGGUUGUAUGUGUUGAGCCCUUCUCUGCUUGAAAAAAAAAGAAGCCAUGAAGCAUGGAGGCAAACAUAAUUGCAAAUCGAUCUGAGCUGCCUAAAUUUGAGUUUGAGUAUUGGGAGAGCAGGACCUGUCGGAUGGGACCCAAAGCACCUUAGUGACCCUGAUCGUCUUCGCCGGUGCUGCGGUCAUGCCUGCACUGCUUCGCCACGCCGGGAUCACAAGCUGGGGCGUCCCAACCCUCGCCGGCAUCGCACACUGGACCGUCACCGUGAGCCAUCUUCGGAGUCGUUUUUAUGUAUUGAACUUGUGAACUUGGAAUAAUGUGUACUUUUGAAUGUGUGGUUUGUAAUAUAUUGUGAAUUUUGUACAAAUUUGGUCGUUUGUGAUAUAUAAAUAUAUAUAAAUAUGGUUUGUGAUA